AAGUCGAACGAAGUAGCAAUACUUAGUGGCAGACGGGUGAGUAACAUGUGGGUAUCUGCCCUUUGGCCUGGAAUAACACGAGGAAACUUGUGCUAAUACUGGAUAAGUCUUUACGGAGAAAGCUUUAUGCACCAUUGGAUGAGCCUGCACUUGAUUAGUUUGUUGGUGGGGUAAUGGCCUACCAAGACUGUGAUCAAUAGCUGAUUUGAGAGGAUGAUCAGCCACAUUGGGACUGAGACACGGCCCAAACUCCUACGGGAGGCAGCAGUGGGGAAUCUUGCACAAUGGAGGAAACUCUGAUGCAGCGAUGCCGCGUGAGUGAAGAAGGCCUUUGGGUUGUAAAGCUCUUUCGUCGGGGAAGAAAAUGACUGUACCCGAAUAAGAAGGUCCGGCUAACUUCGUGCCAGCAGCCGCGGUAAUACGAAGGGACCUAGCGUAGUUCGGAAUUACUGGGCUUAAAGAGUUCGUAGGUGGUUGAAAAAGUUGGUGGUGAAAUCCCAGAGCUUAACUCUGGAACUGCCAUCAAAACUUUUCAGCUAGAGUAUGAUAGAGGAAAGCAGAAUUUCUAGUGUAGAGGUGAAAUUCGUAGAUAUUAGAAAGAAUACCAAUUGCGAAGGCAGCUUUCUGGAUCAUUACUGACACUGAGGAACGAAAGCAUGGGUAGCGAAGAGGAUUAGAUACCCUCGUAGUCCAUGCCGUAAACGAUGUGUGUUAGACGUUGGAAAUUUAUUUUCAGUGUCGCAGCGAAAGCGAUAAACACACCGCCUGGGGAGUACGACCGCAAGGUUAAAACUCAAAUGAAUUGACGGGGACCCGCACAAGUAGUGGAGCAUGUGGGUUUAAUUCGAAGAUACGCGCAGAACCCUUACCAACACUUGACAUGUUCGUCGCGACUUUAAGAGAUUAAAGUUUUCGG
rnacentral:rRNA from 1 species